AUGGGCAGAGCCGUCCCCGGCGACAGACGCAGGGCGACAACGCCGGCGGCAGCCGCCGCAGCGGGCCGGCCUCGGCGGCCACCAGGGAACGGGCGGCGGCGCCCGAUGCGGGGUGGGGGGCGGGCUCUCCAGAGGUCGAGGCAGGUGCGCGGGGAAGCCCCCGCCGCCGCCUACCGCCUCGCGGGCAAGCCCGACGACGGCUGCCGGCGGCGGCGGGGAGGAAGGAGAAGGAGAGAGCCAGUAUCCAGUAAUAAAUGUAACGAGCUACAAAAGGGUACAUACAACCAAGCAUUUAACAAACUAUAUCCACCCCGAUUUCUUCUCUAA
rnacentral:rRNA from 1 species